AUGUCCCCAGCUGCUGGAGAAGGGACAUCUGAUCUCCGAUCUUCACCUCGCCUCUCUCUGGAGCAUAGGCUAGGUGCCUGCUCCAUAUCUGGUGCCCCGCCCAGCAGCACCACAUCCAGCCCUCCAGCUACCUCCAGUGAAUCACAGGCUGCAGGACAUCCAACAUCCAGCACCACAUCCAGCCCUCCAGCUCCCUCCAGGGCAACACAGGCUGCAGGACAUACAACAUCCAGCACCACAUCAGGCCCUCCAGCUCCCUCCAGGGCAACACAGGCUGCAGGACAUCCAACAUCCAGCACCACAUCCAGCCCUCCAGCCACCUCCAGGGCAACACCGGCAGAAGGUGCUGAAGGGGAGCUUCGAAGGAUCCGUUCUAAAUUCGUGAAGAGAGCUUCAAUUGAAGUGAUCAAAGUUCUCCUGGAUGACCUUUUGCAGCAGAAGGUGUUCAGUACUGAGGAAAAGGACUCCGUGAUGGAGAACCAGAGGAAUACAGCAGACCGAGCACGGUGUCUGAUCGACAUGGUGAUGAAGAAAGGGGAGAGAGCAAGUCAGGUGAUGAUUGAUAGUAUGAAGGAGAUGGCCAAUCACUUAUCCAUCACCCUGGGUCUGUAG
rnacentral:lncRNA from 1 species